GACUGGAGGCGCGCGACGCGGGCGCAAUGGCGGGGACCCGGGGCUUGAUGCUGCUUGGGCCUGGCCCAGUGGCGGGUCCUAGGGACGUGGGUACCUGCAGAGGCCGGCAGAUGGAGAUUCAGAAACAUAAGGACAACAAGAAACUUCCCCAAGGUAUCAUUAUAGUCUUUAGACUUCAGACACACACCACACCUCAAAUAUAUACACAACUGAAAGGAAAAUUAAGGAAGUUUUUCAAAGAACCCUAUUCCGAGUAAGAAGUGUGUUGCAUGAAUUUCUAAGGUCAAAGAUGUUGAUUCAUUCAUAGUGUGAGGCCCAGAAAUCGGCAUUUUUAAACAAGUACACUGGACAUUUCUAAAGCUGGCUAAAGUUUGAGAGACACUAUCCAAGGGAAAUUUCUCCGUAACUCUUUUUCUCAGAAGAAAAGUAAACUAAAAGUAAAAAUAAGCAGUACCACUAAGUUUCAAGUGAUCUUCUCCUAAAAGAAGAAAAGGCCUAUAUUCAGGCACAAGAAAAGUAUAUUCUCUUUUAUCCAUGCAGAAAACAGCUAGUGGUUGAAAAUCAACACUUCAGACCUCUUGUCUACAUAAAGCCAACUGCCCCUUUGUUUUACUGAUGUCUUCAAUGAUUUUACUUAGAUUUUUCUACGGCAUUUACUGAAUUAGCUAAGCAGACACAGAUCCAGUCCUUCAUGAAUAUGGUUUGGAGACUCUCUACUGAAUCAGCACUCUUAGCUUCACCGACAUAGUCUCUUGGUAGACCAGAAGGUGUAUCUUAUCUGGAAAGACUGCUAUAUCUACACCCACAAAAAGCAUUAUUUAUCUGAACACUAAAUUCUGACUUCCUUGCCAUUUUAGGGAGCCACUUUAAAACAUUUUCAAUAUUUGCUAUUUUGUAGCAGCAAAUCCUUCAGAAGGAGGUCAAGUGAUGGCCUUUAUCUGUUCCCAGUGUCUUGCCCUUAGGUCCUCAGGGCACCCCCUGGACAGCAGCCUUAGGAACCAGGUACAAAGCACAAGCACUGCUGGUCCGCAUGGUAAGGAAUCACUUCCAGACUGGGCCUUCCCAUGGGCUUCCCUGAGCUUCCUGGACUCAAAUCAUAGUCCUUCUUUUCCUCUCCCCUUUGGACUUGAUAAACGCAGUCCCAUUCAUUUAAUCUCCAACUUAGAAAUCCGGAGAAUGUGAGCCCUGGGAUUUACUUUCAGACACCCUCGUCGAUAACCUUGGCCACUUAGGUUGCUGCAGCCUGUCCCCAGGGAGACAGUUAGAAUGGAACAAUGACACAAACAACACCAACAAUAACAACAGCAGCAGAAGCAGAAGCAACAAUAGUAGAACGAGAAAUAAUUUAUAACAUGCUUACUACAUGCCAGGCACUAAGUGCUUACCCAUAUUAACUCAGUUAAUUCUUAUAACAACCAGAUGAGAUAGAUUUUCUUAUUAUCCCGAUUUUACAAAUGAGCAAACAGAGGCACAAGCAGGUUAAGAAACCUCCCCAAGGUUAAACAGUGAGAAACAGCAAAGAUUUGAACAGUGAGAAACAGCAAAGAUUUGAAACAGCAAAGAUUUGAACCUAUUGUUCGGGAGUCCAUGCUGUUACUCAUUUCUUUAUGCUGCCAUAAUCUAAUAUAAAAUUGAAUAACAAUAAAUGCACCUUAUAUUUGUAUAGCUAUACACACUAAUUUACAUGAUCUUCAUAAGAACUAUGAAAUGGCUGUGAUUAUCCCCAUUUUUAAAAUGAUACUAUAAAGGCAUAAAAUGCUGUAUUUAUGGUAUGCAACCCUUUGGUGAACAACCCUAUAAAUAUUUAAUUACUUAUAUUGAUGUUCUUCCUACGUCUAAGAAAAAUGUUAUUUCCAUUCCCAAGAUGUUAGUAGAGACGAAGAUUUUUCAAUUUGUCUCCUUGAUUUUGUUGGAUUAUAGCAUUAAAGUUAUUUUUACAAAGCCAUCUACGGUAACCCAGUAGAAAGGGUAAGCCUGUUGGCUUAGGAAAACUGAAUGGCAUUCAGUUUCUUCAAAGAAAUUUGGGACAGAUGUGGGUUUUUUUUCUUCUUCUUCUUCAACAAAUCCAGAAGAUGAAAAAUGUAUUUUAUUUCUUGUGAAAUGCAUUUUUCUGUUCAUCUCAGUAUGUGGGACUGUUGAAGUUUAUAAGUUUGGCAGUGUUCUAACAUGGCCAUCCUGUUCUCCUUUAGCAACUUAUUAAAUGUAUUUUUUUUAAUGAAAACAGAA
rnacentral:lncRNA from 10 species